rnacentral:lncRNA from 1 species
GGAAGGGGCUUGAGGGGCUUGAGGGGCAGGCCCCCCGAGCGGGGCGACCAGGCGGACGGCCCGGGUGGGCUCCGUGCUUAGCCCGGGUCCCCCUCCCCCGCCAGCUCCUUUCUGCGAGCGAGACCAUUCCGGCCAUCCUCCUGCUCCCUUCCGGGGAUUCCUGGAAGGCAGCGGAUCCAGAGGGUUGCUCCCCUCCCUCCCCGGUGUUGUUCCCCUCCCAGAAUCCAGAACCCCAGACUCAGGAAAGAACGGCCCCUGCUGUCCCUUCCUCGCUUUCGGUCCCAAUCACGUUGUCAAGCUUUUGUGUGAACCGACCCAGCUGUAACCCUUCCCCACUCGGCCUACCAUGAGGCAGAGUCCCUGAGAGGUGCUGCAGCCUCGCUGCCCUCCGUCCUCCUACCCACCUGGAGGCAGGGUGGACCCCAGGACAUAGGUGCCCCCUUUCCGCAUGGAAAAGGCCAGCAUCACCCUGCUCCCAAAAGCAGAGUCACAGAAAGGUCUGGUGGAACCUGCCGCUGCCCAGCAACGUCAGGACGACCGAGUCGGCAGGAAUUGGGUGGUGUUACGGUGUUACAACUGAGCACCCUUGCAGCAGGUGUGUACCUGUCUAUAAAGGGCUCCCCGGGAACGUAAUGGUGAGCAACCACCAAGAGCUGGAUCCUGUAACCCAUGAGCUGUCUUGCCAGGAUUCCAGAUGUGGCCCAGAUGUCCACAGCAGUCCCUCCCACAGGGUGGGACACAGCUAUUCUAUGCAGCCCCUCCCAACCCUUCUCCCAAGGUCAGGGAAGGAAAGCCGGCCACCUCCAGGGCACCCUCCUCAUUCAAGAUGCAGAAAGAAGAGAUGAUGGCUCCCCUCAAGUUCCUUCCUGCCCGAAGCCACCAGGGUUCAUUCUGUGGUCUAACUGCUAGCCCUCUACUGACAGAAGUCCCCAAGUGCUGGCUCUUGCAGAAGGACCUACCCAGGCAGUAUGGACUCUCAACGAUGGUACCCUUAGACUCGAUCAGAGCUGGUCUCUGUCCUAGUCCUUCAUGUAUAUAGUUGAGAGGGUGCUUCCA